rnacentral:rRNA from 1 species
UCGGGAAUUUUGGGCAAUGGGCGAAAGCCUGACCCAGCAACGCCGCGUGAGGGAUGAAGUAUUUCGGUAUGUAAACCUCGAAAGAAUGGGAAGAAUAAAUGACGGUACCAUUUAUAAGCUCCGGCUAACUACGUGCCAGCAGCCGCGGUAAUACGUAGGGAGCAAGCGUUGUUCGGUUUUACUGGGCGUAAAGGGCGCGUAGGCGGCGCGGUAAGUCACUUGUGAAAUCUCUGAGCUUAACUCAGAACGGCCAAGUGAUACUGCUGUGCGAGAGUGCGGAAGAGNCAACCGGAAUUCUUGGUGUAGCGGUGAAAUGCGUAGAUAUCAAGAGGAACACCUGAGGCGAAGGCGGGUUGCUGGGCCGACACUGACGCUGAUGCGCGAAAGCCAGGGGAGCAAACG